CUGAUGCAGAGUACUGCACAUCGGACAUGUGGAGAUCACACUGGGACCAUGAGGAACACCAGGCCAACAUAGACUCCUUUUCCCAGAUACAGCAAUGAAGGAUCCUUCUACAUCUGAGUGUGAUGGUAUUCCUGAGUCUCCAUCUGGGACUUGCACGACUGACAGAAGUGAAAACUGAGAGGAAGCUGCUGACAUGAUGUCAGAAGCCCUGAACACUGCUGGAGAUGGAGGACCUUCAUUGCUGCCCUAAACCCAGUGGCAUAUUGGGCAGCAAUAGGGUGAUGUUUGAGGCCAUUCUGAAAUAUCAGUCCAUGGCCUCCUCUACUGCCGCCAUGAGGCCACACUCAUGUUGGAGGAGC